AUGUUCGAGAAACUUGGCACAUGGAUAACUGGAAGCAAAACAUGGCUCUUGGAUCGCAAGAUGCUUCUGAAAUAGAAUAUUGCCCCCGUGCUUUUUACCUCUUUCUAUUUGAGCUGAUAUUGGCCUAUUGAGAGAUAUGAAAGAACUAAAUCUGCUCAAGUCAUUGAAGGUCGUUCAAUGAGUGGACCAAUGGACCAAGAUCACAGACACGCUUGUUUUUUGGAGGAGCAAGGCAACAAAUCGCAAAAGGCACGCAAUCGUUGGAGUAAUCAAGAAAAGACCCAUGUGACUAGGCAAUGUUGACCGAGGCGGAAUUAACCCACUGAUUUCUGGCAACUUAUUCACCGAACACGAUCCACCUCACAAGAGCUACCUCGUCAAACGGCAGGAUCUCCUUUCACACGCAUGAGGAGGAAUAAGUUUGAGCACGAAAAAUGAUGCCAUUACAGUUAUGCCCUGGAAGGCAUGAACGGUGUCCACCCAAAUGCGUCCCUAAACUCAAUCACCUGGCGAAGAAGUUGGAAGCAGAGAUCGGAAUUGGGUCCGGACUCGGUUGCAAUGGCACUUUCGUUGGAAGCAAGGCCGGUGGGUCGGUGGGUCGAUG